rnacentral:rRNA from 1 species
UACGUAGGGACCGAGCGUUGUCCGGAUUCAUUGGGCGUAAAGAGCUCGUAGGCGGUCUGUUACGUCUGCUGUGAAAACCCAGGGCUUAACCCUGGGCUUGCAGUGGAUACGGGCAGACUAGAGGCAGGUAGGGGAGCAUGGAAUUCCCGGUGUAGCGGUGAAAUGCGCAGAUAUCGGGAGGAACACCGGUGGCGAAGGCGGUUCUCUGGGCCUGACCUGACGCUGAGGAGCGAAAGCGUGGGGAGCGAACAGG